AUUGAACGCUGGCGGCAGGCCUAACACAUGCAAGUCGAGCGGAUGAAGGGAGCUUGCGCCUGGAGUCAGCGGCGGACGGGUGAGUAAUGCCUAGGAAUCUGCCUGGUAGUGGUGGAUAAUGUCCUGAGACGGGCGCGAAUACCGCAUACGUCGUGAGGGAGAAAGUUGGGGGGGUUCGGACCGCAUGCGCGCAGAGGAGCCUAGGUCGGAUUAGAUAGUUGGUGGGGUAAAGGCCUACCAAGGCGACGAUCCGUAACUGGUCUGAGAGACUGAUCAGUCACAUUGGAACUAGGCCACCGUCCAGACUCCUACGGGAGGCAGCAGUGGGGAAUAUUGGACAAUGGGCGAAAGCCUGACACAGUGAGCCCGCGUGUGUGAAGAAGGCCUUCGGAUUGUAAAGCACUUUAAGUUGGGAGGAAGGGCAGUCAGUUAAUACCUUGCUGUUUUGACGUUACCAACAGAAUAAGCACCGGCUAACUUCGUG
rnacentral:rRNA from 1 species